rnacentral:lncRNA from 1 species
CUCCUCCCGCUUCCUCUCUCCGCUGAUCACCAGCACAUUGCCGUCCUCCACCUGAACCUUGAUGUCGCCGGACCUCAGCCCCGGCAUGUCGACGAUGAAGGUGUAGGAAUUCGGGUACUCCUUGACGUCAGCCGGCGUCGCCGCCAUGGCCUUGGCGUCCCGGACGUAGGUGCGGGUGGGAGCGUUGAGAGACUUGUCGGAAUCGUCGCCGGCGUCAAGCAUGUGUUGGAGGGUUGAGAAGAGUGGAGAAUCAAAACCCAUGACCCUCAAAUCCAUUUUGCUUUUCAGCGAUUAGUCUCUGAGAUCUGCUAAGAUUUGUAAAUGAAAAUGUUGGAAUUGAUUUUCUGAUGAGGAAUUCAUGCCGGUGGUGUGGUUCUUAUAGGUGGUGGGUUUGGGUUUGGAAGCAGAGGAAGUUUCUGGAAGAAGAGAGAAGAGCAACACUGGUAGCUUCUGGAAGUUUUAUGGACCUUCUUACAAGUUAAAACGGAAAAAUUCAAAUUGACUAAAGUGCCCUUCUGUCUCUAUGGCUACAAAAUCCCCUUACGUGGACGCCUUUGAAUGUUGCUGUAAUAAGACAACAAUUUAAUUUUACUCCUCCGAAAGUCAGGUAUUUGUUUUUUGGGAGAAUUACGUUUGGAGGUAGAUGGACAUUCAAAUUAACAAAAGGUCCAUGUAAUUCUUCAAAUUGAGCCUAAGACCCAAUAAAAGUAUGAAAAUUGAGUUGAAGGAUAUCAUCUUUCAGUAUUUCCAAAAAUACCCUUUAUUGAUUUUGAGAAAAAAAAUUAAUAUUUUUUAAAAAUACUUUUAUGUAAUUUAAUAUUUUUAAAAAUAAUUUAUUUAAUUUAAUAUUUUUAAAAAAUAAAUUUAUUUAAUUUAAUAUUUAAAAAAAAUAAAUUUAUUUAAUUUAAUAUUUAAAAAAAAUAAAUUUAUUUAAUUUAAUAUUUUAGAAAAAAUUUAAUUUAAUAUUUUUUUAAAUACUUUAAUUUAAUUUAAUAUUUUUGAAAAAAAAAUCAUUUAAUUUAAAAUUUUUGAAAACUACUUUUAUUUAAUUUAGUAUUUUUGAAGAAAAAUUAUUAAAAAAAAAUUAUUUAACUUAAUUUUAUAAAAUAUUUUAUAUGUGUUCUUAAAGGGUAUAUUUGUCCGUUACUAUUUCAUAUCCUUCAACUCAAUUUGAAGAGUUAUAUGGACCUUUUGUUAAUUUAGGAUCCCAUCUAACCCCAAAACAUAAUUCUCCCUUGUUUUUUUUUAUUGAAAAUAAUUUAUUUUUGAAUGGUUUGUUUUUUCUUUUUCUUAUUUACGAUUUAUUAUAAAUUUUUUAUUGGAUAAAAAAAACUAAAAUAUUUAAUUUUUUCUAAACUUAAUAAUUAAUACUAUUAAAUAUUAAAAUUUUAUUUAUAAUUAAGUAAAAAAAACCAACACUACUGUAAACCCCCAUUUGGGCUCCUCUUCCAUGCAUUUUUUUUUACCAGGUGUCACAAUCCCAAGAAAGCUGGCAGCCAUUUUGGAAGAGUGGGGGCUGGUUUCUGGAGGAGCCGAGCAUGUUGGGACGUGUGGCCAUGGACACCACCACCUUGCCAUGGUGGUGGUUGAGGAUGGAGACUGGCUGAUGGUUGGAACAGGGAAAGACUUGCAAGAGGGGAAAAACAGAGGGCAGGUGAAGGCUGGCAGGGGGUCUUCAUUUUUUUGAGGAGAGGCGAACGGGAGAGGGGAGAGACCGGAGAGAGAAGAAACAGAGGAACGAGAGGGAGUUUGAGGGGAAAAACGAGUGGGGAUCGUUUUGGAGAUAGAUUAAGAGCUAGAAACCAAGCAUAACAAUGCUUGAAGGGAGUUGUCCAGGUACGAUUACUAAAGCUCCAUGUUUUCUCCUAUCUUCAUAUUGUUUCCUUUUGGUUUCUGCAUAUUAUUUUGUUGGUUGAAUCUGAAUAUAAAAAACCAUCAUGUUAUUGUUGAGCCUGAGAUUGUUUUUAUGCUUCCACUGUUUGGGUUAUGCUCUGGUUUCUUUGUCUCUGUUUUAUACCAGAUUUGCAACAUUUGGAGGUAUUAUUUACAUUCCUAUUUUGGACCCCAUUUUGAGAUUUCUAUACAUUGGCUCUCAAGUUCACUGGUAACUCAUGAAGUAAAGCUUCACUUGUUGACCAGUGAUUUAUGUUUAUGUCAUGUUUCUAUGAUUGUUAUUUUUGCUGUGAUUUUCCUCUGUUCGUUGACUGUCCAUGGUGUCCAUCAAGUGGUGCACUUCCACCUAGGGCUUCUCUGAUCUGUUGGAUAACAUACCAUUAAUUCGAGGAGCUGUGAAAAGAAAGGAAAUUUGAAUCAAUUGCAAAAUGCUUUGAGAAGGCUAGUUACAGUUGGGUUGAAGUUACUGUUGGGGAUAAAUGUAUGCCCAAGAUCCAAUCUAUCAUGUAAUCAACUUUAGUUUUAAUAAGGUAUUAAUUCUUUAUUUCAUUAUCAUAUCUGUUUAAAAUAGUUUAUAUGAUAAGGUCCUUGAUUAAAAUUUGAAAAAUUGUUAUCAUGAUAGAGAUUAUGAUAAUGAGAAGCAAUUCUUUUAAUAAUUUUAAUCUAAACUGUUCUUGAUCAUAGGAUUAUUGUCAACAGGACAUCAAUAAUCCAGAUAGAUCAAUAUAUAUGUGAUGGUCUUUAUUGGAUAAAGAUUGAUAUAUCUCAUUUGUUAAAUUACAUAUAUAGAUGAUGCACAUGUAGAUGUGAUCAUUGAACUGACUCAACUGAGAAUUUCUAAUGGUUAUCUUUACCUUAAAUUGUCAAUAGGAAUUUCUCAAGAAGAAAUAUAAUAGUUUUCUUUGACCUGAGAUUAUCAAAGUAAUUAACAAGUUAUUUAUUAUAUUUUAAUCCCGGACACCUAAUGCCUUAGGGCACUAGUUGAAUGGAUAUUGGAUAUAAUUAAAUACUUGUAGAAUUAAUGAUUAAUCAAGAAGGAAUCCAUCAACUCGUGGUAAUGAGUUUGAGCUCUAUGAUAAAAAUAAGACCUUGGCCAAGGCAAUUGAAUGAAUGAAGAAAUGAGUUUCUUAAGUCAUUCACUAANNNNNNNNNNNNNNNNNNNNNNNNNNNNNNNNNNNNNNNNNNNNNNNNNNNNNNNNNNNNNNNNNNNNNNNNNNNNNNNNNNNNNNNNNNNNNNNNNNNNUAGCACCAAGAAUAUAAUUAAUAUAUAGAUAAAAAAAAUAAAAUAUUUUUCUUUGGACGUGGAAGUUAGUCCACGAGAAUGUUUGCUAAACAUUUGCAAACAUAUGGGUACAUGCAGCAACUUACAGGAGGGAUGUGGGUUUUGUUUUUAACUUACAAGACUUGGUCAAAGUGUUUUUCAAAUGCUAUUGAAAAUAGCAAAAGAAAAACAAAUGGACCAAUAGAAUCUCUUAGUAGCCCAAAAAAGGAGGACACGAUAGAGAUAGAUUAAGUGAUAAAAUCAAAAAUCAAAUUAGUUGAGUUAUCUUAUCACUUAAAACAGAAGUUGUAUCGGAUAUGCUAUAUAACAUAUAUACACAAUCUGAAUAAGGAUCGAUCUAUCUUUUUCCUCCUUGUUUUUUACGCCAAAGAAAUAAAAAGUGUUGUUCUAUUUUUUUUAAGUUCCGCGUAUCAAAGGGUUGAUAGCAAAGAUUAAUUUCGGUGUGGAUACACGUAGAGUCUUCAUACAAUUGGAGAAAAUUUUAUGCUUGAAGAACUGAUAUCCAGGUUAUUAUUUUAAAUUUUUGAUAGCUGCAGUAUAUAUUUUGAAUGCAAAAUAGAUCAAUUUUCCGCUGUAUGUGUUAUAAAUUUAUUUUAUAACCUUUCAGUUACAGGGCAUGUAAGUUGCUUCAUGUCAAGGAAUCAUAAAAUCCAAUUCCUUUUAAAUUUAAUUUCCAAAAUUCCAUUUCCUAAAUUUAAUUUUUAGAACUCUAAUAUCUUUCAAAUUUAAUUUCCGGAAUUCCGAUUUCCUUCAAAUUUAAUUGCCAAAAUUCAAAAUUUUCAAUUUAAUUUCUAAAAUUUCAUUUCUUUCAAAUUUAACUUCCAAAAUUCUGAUUUCUUUCAAACUUAAUUUCCAAAAUCCAAUUUCUUUUAAAUUUAAUUUCCAAAAUUCCAUUUCCUAAAUUAAUUUUUUUUAAAACUCCAAUUUCUUUCAAAUUUAAUUUCCGGAAUUCUGAUUUCCUUCAAAUUUAAUUUCCAAAAUUAUGAUUUCUUUCAAAUUUAAUUUCCAAAAUCCAAUUUCUUUUAAAUUUAAUUUUCAAAAUUCCAUUUCCUAAAUUUAAUUUUUAAAACUCCAAUUUCUUUGGAAUUUAAUUUCCAAAAUUCUGAUUUCUUUCAAAUUUAAUUUCUAAAAUUUCAACUCUUAAGUUUAAUUUCCAAAAUUCUAUUUCCUAAAUUUAAUUCUCAAAAUUCCAAUUUCUUUUAAAUUUAAUAUCCAAAAUUCUAAUUCUUAAAUUUAGUUCCCAAGGCUUGAAUUUUCAAAUAAUUUUCGAGACUCCAAUUUUCAAAUAAAUUUCAAAAAUCCAGUUUUCUCUCGAACAAUUUUAAUUCCACUAUGGUUUUCAAAUGAUAUUUUGUUUCUCUUGAUUCUAUAUAAGCAAGAAUGAAUUUUCAUAAUUCUAGAAUAAUGGAAUUUGCGAGACUAAUUCGUGCAAGAUAAACUGGGCUUUGGUGGGGGCCCUACAUAGGAGUUUUAUUGUCAACUGUUAUACUUAAUGAAUAUUGUCUGAUCUUUGUCUUGUUGUUUGAUAUGCAUGCGAUAUAUUUUGUAUUCAUUAUUGUGCACUAAUCCCAUUUCAUGAUAGUGCAUUAUUACUUGCUGCCAAGGUACGAUCUCACUCCCACUUUAUUUAUUUCUAUGCAUGAUUCGUUUUAUUAUUCGAUUAUUUCACUGGUAUUUAUUGAUUUCCUAAUUAAUUAUUAUAUUUGCUUCACCUUGAUUAAUAGAGACCCAUUUUUUGGGGCUUAGAGGGGUGCUACGGUCUUUACCGUACUCUUCCCAAUAAGUAACCUAACCCCCGAACCUAGACCCUGUUUUUCACAGACCUGGUUUUUUUCUUCAGAAAUUAUAUUUAGGGUUUUUCUUUUUUAUUUUGUUUUUCCCUUAAAAAAUAAAACAAAAAUAAGUAGCGACUCCAAGUUUUUUCAAAAAAUCAAAUUUUCACAAAAUGAAUAAAAAGUGAGUUUCACCAUCGAGUGGGAACACAUUGAGCAAAAUGCGGGGUCCACAACUACUCAUUUAACUUUUUCAUUAAAUUGGCAUAAAUAAAAUAAUAUCACACUAUAAAGUAUACAAAUCUGAAAAUAUUUACUUAGUAAAAUUUUAAAUUUAUUGUUAAUAGUUGUUCCAUAAUAUUAAUCAUUUUAAAAUAAACUUAAACUUUCAUUAGUUAAAUUCUUAAUUUUUAUAAAUAGAAUAAUUUGAGCAUGUAUUUUCAUUAAAUAUGGUUGUCUUAAUUACUAAUUUUAAUUUAUUUAGUAAUAGAUCUUAUUAAAUUACAAAAUUAUAAAAAAAAAUAAUAAUUUAAUAUGUUUUCGAAAAUGAGUUCUUAGCAUCCAUGAGCUCUAAAAUAAUUAUUUUAGAGCAUGUUUCUUAAAUAAGCAUCCUUCACAUAAUUCAUUCAUCAUCUCCGAAAAGCAAUUCCCAUUUUUUUUUUCAACAAUUUUAAUUCAUCAAAAUUAAGAUAUCCAAAUCUUAAAUGUCAAAUCCAAAAGGAAUUAUCACACGAGAUUUUAGAUAUUUAUUAUUUUGUAUGUUUAACAAAAACAUUGCAUUUCUUGACAUAUUAUUAAUUACAUUUACAUGCUAUCUCUUACUAAAAGAGUCAUAUAAAUAUCAUAAUCUUUUUCUAAAAGCUAGUCCAAACUUAAUAUAUUAUUUGUCAUUUGGGCAAAUAACAAAUAAUGUUCGAGAUAAAUCGAUGCAUUCCAUUCUUAUUUUACCUUUGCCUUUUUAGAUACAUAAUAAUUCUUUCCCCACAAAAUGGACUUAACUUUGAAUAGUUUCCAAGAUGGGUGAGCCCAAAAAAAAGAGGCUAUUUGGACAAAUUCUAAAGCUGUGACCCAAAAGACUACGUUUUAAAAAAAAAAUUCACAAAGUACUCCCAUUUCUAAAAUAAUGUCCAAUCUAAUGUGUCUGUACCACGUAAAUUGUCACGUCAUAAAACCGUAGUUGGUAAUUAUGGUUUUAUUUUUUAAAAAUAGUCAAAACCGUAGUUACCAACCACGAUUUUAACUUUAAGUUUAAAACCGUAGUUGGUGAUUACGACUUUGAAUAUUUUUAAAAACAGUCAAAAGCCGUAAUCACCAACUACGACUUUAACUUUCCUUUAUCCUUUCCCCCUUUCCCGAUUAGGUUUAUUCAUUUUCCCAAUUACCUUUCUUCCCUUUAGUUUUUGUGUUUAUUUUCAUUUGCAUUAUAUUGUUAACUUUUUUUUUUUAUUAUUAUGAACAAAUUAUUAUAUAUUUAAAUGAAAAUAUGAUAAAUUUUAAACUUAAAUUGAACUUUUAUAUAUAUAUAUAUAUAUAUAUAUAUAUAUAUAUAUAUAUAUAUAGCAAUCUGACAAUCUAAAAAAUUGGUUUUAGGUUUAAAUUUAAACUAAUUAUAUUUAUAACUAAUUAGUUACAACAACACUAUAUUGAUAUAGAAAAAAUAAUGUAUUAAAAAAAUUUACAAUUUAAACCUCCAAUCAAAAUAAUUUUUUAAAAAUUAAAUAUUCACAUGAUUUAAAAUUUGAACUUAAAAAAUUGGUUUUAGGUUUAAAUUUAAAGUUAUGAUCACCAACUACUAUUUUGACUAUUUUUUAAAAAAAUUCAAAAAUCAUGAUUACCAAUUACAGUUUUGUGAUGUGAAUACCCACAUGAAUAAGACACACAUCACAUUGAAAAUUAUUUUGAGAAUAAAAUUAUUUUAUGAAUUUUCUGUUUUAAAGAAAUCAUUUUUGCCCAAAACUCCCAUUAGUACCCAAUAAGAAACAUUUUUCUUAUUAUCAAUGAAUUUACAAAAAUAUUCUAAAAGCAUUUUCAUCUAUUUACCAAAACAAUUAAACUAAAUAGUGAAUUGAUUGGAAAAAAAAAUGUAUUUUCUUUUUUACAAUUAUAUAUUUUAAGAAGUGGAAAAACAAAUUUUUUUAGGUUGGCAUUUUAAGUUUAACAUUUUAAGCCUUUCCAUUCCAUUUUGAUCCCAUUUUGAAAAGAGAAAAAUGGGAAAAAAAUUAUUUUUGUUGUAUUUAAGUAAUUUUCCAAUUAUUUACCCAUGAAGUCAUAUUAUAUUUUGAACAAGUGCAUAAUUGUCUUUAAUUUUUGCACAAAGUUACAAAAUAAUAUAAUAUUCUUUAUUAUGAGGGUAUAAAAUAGUAUAUUUAUAACUAAUUAUAUUUAUAUUGAGUGUAGUGCCAAAUAUUUUAAUAAAAUUAUCAAAAUAUAUUUUUAUAUUAAAUUAAAGACAUCAAUUAUUUAAUUUCAUAUAUUACUAUUCUGUAAAUAAUAAGAUCAAUUAAAGUUAAAUAUUUUUAUUACACCAUUUACAUAUUUUUAAUCAAUAUAAAAUCAAAAUAAUAUAAUAUUUUAUUUAAAAAAAUUAAACUUAAAUAUAUAUAUAUAUAUAUAUAUAUAUAAAAUUAAAGUUAAAGUCGUAGUUGGUGACUACGGUUUUAACUUUAAGUUUAAAAUCAUGAUUGAUGACACGGUUUUGAUUGUUUUUAAAAAGUAAAACCGUAAUUGGUAACUACGAUUUUAUGACAUGAUAAUUUACUUAGAGUAAACGCAUUAGAUUGGACAUUAUUUUGGAAAUAAGGGUACUUUAUAAAUUUUUUUUUUAAAACAUAGUAUUUUGGGUCAGCUCCAAAUUCUAAGGGUUGUUUGGGCUUGUCCAUUAAUUUGGGACAUGAAACCCACUAAAGGCUAAAGCCAGAACAAGACUAGUCUCAUCCAAGAAGGUAGAACAUAAAAAUAUAUUCCACACAAACCUUAUGGUAGAAGUUAAAAUAAAACUUUUGCUCAAUCACUCUUAAAUCUUACAAAAGCCUUAUAGUUUCAGGGUAAUAUUUCUUAGGAAGAUCAGUUUUCCCAUCUUCUCUACGCAUACAAUGAAGCUUCCAACCAGAAGAGAGAUACACCAAAGAAGAAGAAAAACAGAGCAGGAAGGCUUUCAUUCAUACUCAAAACUAGAAUAUUUGUAAAGAAAUCAUCAGCUUCUAUGUAGAAGCCAAUGACCCAAUAUCAUACCCUGACCAAAUUCACAGAAAUCCCAAUUAGACCAGCUUAUCGGCAAUUACCCACUCAGAAAUCACGGAGAUUUAAGCGAUCUUGACCUCAAUCGUCUUGGGCUUCUUGGGCUCCGGCGGUGGUACCUUCUCAACGGUGACGGUCAGUACUCCAUCUUGACAAACCGCGGAGAUCUUAUCAGUAUUCGCAUUCUCCGGCAACGCAAACUUCCUCAUAAAUUUGCCUACCCUCCUCUCCAUUCUCACGUACUUGACGCCUUCCUUCUCUUCCUCGCGCUUCCUCUCUCCGCUGAUCACCAGCACAUUGUCGUCCUCCACCUGAACCUUGAUGUCGCCGGACUUCAGCCCCGGCAUGUCGACGAUGAAGGUGUAGGAAUUCGGGUACUCCUUGACGUCAGCAGGCGUCGCCGCCAUGGCCUUGGCGUCGCGGACGUAGGUGCGAGUGGGGGCGCUGACGGACUUGUCGGAGUCAUCGGUGGCGUCUAGCAUGUGUUGGAGGGCAGAGAAGAGUGGAGAAUCGAAGCCCAUCAUCCUCGAAUCCAUGUUGGGUUCCAGAGAUUUGUUGGUGUGAGAAUGUGAACAACUGCAAUUGCGAAUGUAGAAGUGCUUGAAUGUUGGAAGGGAUCGGAGGUAGUGAUGUGGUUUUUAUAUUAGACGAGUUGGGAAACAGAGGAAGGUUCUGGAAACAACAAGAAGGAGGAGAAUUGGGAGUUUGUAUCUGUUGGCUCUGCUCCAACGGUUCCAGAAGUUUGUGGAAGUUUCUUUAAAAUGACUAAAGUACCCCUCAUUUGUUCAUAAAAAUUACCUUUUAAAAGAAGUUCUAUUUCAACUUACACGGUAGUUCACAAAUCUUUUAUCAUAUUAUUGUCAACAAGCUAUGGUUUUGAUCAAUGCUUGAUGUAAAUUUUUAUUUUGAUUUUAGAAAAAAAAUAAAAAUAAAGACAUAAUUCUAAAAGGUAUUAUUACGGUAAAAAGUUAAACUAAAACUUUGAGAUAAAAUCAUUUUUUAGGGAACAUUUAAUAAAUCAAUUUAAUAACUUAAAGUAAAUUAAUAAUUUAAUUUAUAUUAUUAAAUAAAUUAAGUAUGUUUGAUAAAAUAAUUUAAUGAUAUAACUUAAGAAUAAAAAAUAACUUAAAGUAACAAACAAAAAUAAUUAAUUAAUUCUUAAAUUUAUAUCUUUAUUUUAAUUUUUUUACUCUUAUUUAUCCGAACUAUUUUCAUAAUCUUUUUUGUUAUUUCAUGACUUUCAUUGUUACUCAAAUUACUUUAUCCUAAUUAUAUAAUUUAUGAAGAUAAAUAUAUUAAUUUGGUGAUUUAUAAUAAAUUUUAAUUUAAUUUUAUUAAAUAACCUUAAUAUUUAAAAUAAGAAUUAAAUAAUAAUUUUUAAGUCAAUAAUUUAAAUAUAAUUUAACUUAAAAUCAAAUUAAAUAAUUAAAUAAUAAAUAAUAAAUUUUACCAAAUACCAUUUUAGAAUUGUUUUUAUAGUAAAGUUAGUUAAAUAAAUACAGAUUUUUUUAUUAAUAAGAGUUUUUGAACUUAGAUCCAACUUGUGUUUUAUCUAUUAAAAUUUAAAAGUUAUAACCAAUUAAGCAUUAACAAUUAAAAAAAAAUUACUCUUUAUUUCUAAAUCGUACAUUAAUAAUAAUUGACUAAUAAAUUAUGAACAUGGAUAAUUUGCCCCUUAUCGGUAGGAGCAUAAAUUACAUGGCAAGUCAUGUUGGGUACAUUUAACUUGGAUUGAACAAGGCGUAGAAGGAUUAAAUAGAAGUAUAUCAUUGAUGAUAAUAUUGCUUAAAUUUAUUUAAUGUCUUCAUUAUUCUAAUACCAGUCAUUAUAUUUGAUCAUUUUCAAAGAGAACAACUCUUCCCUGAGACAAAUAUGGUGUCACUCUCCCAAUCUAAAUUACAAAUUUAGAUUAUCGAAUUCCCUACCCAAAAUCCAAUCUUCCCAGUUAAAAAAAAAAGACUUGUAGUGAAGUUGUCAACCAGAGGAAAUACCACACCUUACUAUGGCUUUUUAAUUGCCGUUAAAUCUUAAAAAUUCUCCAGGAAAAAUGAAAACGAGGCAAGGAAGAGAAAAGGCAGACUUUAUUGACGGUACUGAAAAAUCAAAACUAUACAUUAUACUGUAAUGAAGAGAUCAGUAUUUUCAUCACCCCAAGCCAUUGACCCAAGAUCAAACCCAGACAAAGGCUCCUGUGGCACAGCAACAUUACCACAUUAUUUACUACUAAAACUCCAGAAAAACCCUCCCAAAACCCCCUACAUUUCAAGCAAUUUUGACCUCAAUGGUCUUGGGCUUCUUGGGUUCCGGCGGUGGCAGCUUCUCGACGGUGACGGUCAACACCCCAUCUUGACAUACAGCAGAGAUCUUAUCAGUAUUCGCAUUCUCCGGCAACACGAACUUCCUCAUAAACUUCCCCACUCUCCUCUCCAUUCUUACGUACUUGGCACCUUCCUUCUCCUCCUCUCGCUUCCUCUCUCCGCUGAUCACCAGCACAUUGCCGUCCUCCACCUGAACCUUGAUGUCGCCGGACCUCAGCCCCGGCAUGUCGACGAUGAAGGUGUAGGAAUUCGGGUACUCCUUGACGUCAGCCAGCGUCGCCGCCAUGGCCUUGGCAUCCCGGACGUAGGUGCAAGUGGCUUAAGGUUGAGGGAUUCAAAGACCUUGUUCGAACUUGUGGCAGGGGAUCAAAGUCAGUGGCAGUGCUAGUUAUAGAUUAGCUGCUAAAAUGAAGGAAGUAAAAAAGAAGCUGAAAGUAUGGAACAAAGAGGUUUUUGGGAGGCUGGAAUGCAACAAAUCUUCAGCCCUACAACAAGUAGAUUUCUGGAAUCGGGUGGAAAGCGAGAGAAACUUGACUGUGGAGGAAACUAAAUUAAAAAAGAAGCAAAAGAAACCUAUAAAAAGUGGGUUCUGUUGGAGGAAGCUCAUUGGAGAUAGCUUUCAAGGGAGAUUUGGCUAAGGGAGGGGAAUAGAAACACGGGUUUCUUCCAUCGAAUGACAAGUAUUCAUCGUAGAAACAAUGCUUUUGACAGAAUUAAGGUUAAUGGGGAGUGGCUGUCAGAGGAGCAGGAGGUGAGGGAAGAAAUUGUUAACACAUUUCAGUAGAUGCUCUCUAAAGAUAUGGAAUGAAAGGCGAAUAUUGGAAGAAUUCAUAUUGAUCACAUCAUCCGGCAAGAAGCAGAGAGUUUGGAGGUCCCAUUUACAGAGAUUGAGAUUUAUACGGCGUUGAUGGAGAUGAAUGGGGAUAAAGCCCCUGGUCUGGAUGGCUUUACUGUAGCUUUCUGGCAAAACGCUUGGGAUUUUACCAAAGAGGAGAUUCUGGAUAUGUUUAAAAAAUUUCAUGAACAUAACUCUUUUGUUAGAAGUCUCAACAAUACUUUUUUGGUAUUGAUCCCUAAGAAAAGUGGGGUUGAGGAUCUUGGAGACUUUAGACCUAUCAGUCUCUUAGGGGGCCUUUAUAAACUUUUGGCUAAAGUUCUAGCUAAUAGGCUAAAAAAAGUGAUUAGUAAGGUGGUCUCCAUUGCCCAGAAUGCCUUUGUAACAGGAAGACAAAUUCUUGAUGCGUCAUUAAUUGCUAGUGAGGUGAUAGAUUCAUGGCAGAAGAGAAAAGAGAAGGGCCUUAUAUGCAAAUUGGAUAUAGAAAAAGCUUAUGACAACAUCAAUUGGAAAUUCUUAAUGAAGGUCUUACAAAAAAUGGGUUUUGGGGCUAAGUGGGUGGGAUGGAUGUGGAGUUGCGUGUCCUCUACCAAAUUCUUAGCUCUUGUUAAUAGAGUACCAACUGGUUUUUUCCCUAGCACUAAAGGGCUUAGACAAAGAGAUCUUCUAUCCCCUUAUCUUUUUUGUAAGGAAUUUGAGGCUAAUCCAAACUAUGCUAAUCACCCUAGAGAGGGGGGGUAAAUAGGGUGAUGGUCUCUUUUUCACAAAUUUAAACUAUGCAAAAAUAAGAGAUAAUUAUAUGCAAAUAUAUAAUAAACAAAAUAAACACAAUUACAUAUAAUUUAAAAGAGUUAGGGAAGAGAGAGUGCAAACAUGAGAGUUUAUAGUGGUUCGGCACUUCCUUGCCUACGUCCACUCUCCUCAACCUUUUAACCGAGUGAGGGUUCCACUAUCUUGAAGUUUCAACCAAACUUCCAAUCUCUUUACAAUUGGAUUAUGGUUCUAAUUCACCCUCUUAGACUUUUGGCUCCAAGCACCUUUUACACUUCUUAAGAGUUAUCCCACUCUUGAACAACCUCUCAAGUGAUACCCCUCACUUGAGAAAAUUCAUCUAAAAAAUAUACAAAGAUUGAUCUCACAAAGAUCCUAGUAAUAGAACUUUAGGCUCAAAAAUACAAGAAAAACUAGGAUUGAAUGGUACACUAAAGAUAUGCAAGUUAUGAAACAAUGGUGCACUCAAAAACACUCUUCCAAGGCUCAAAUAUAAUCAAGAAUGAUUUGGGAAGGUUAAGCUUAUGAAACAAUGAAGAUUGAAGCCUUUUUAUAGAAGAAAAAAGUCAAACUAGCCGUUGGGGGUUCGACCGGUCGAGCUAGGUGUCGACUGGUUGACUAGCCGUUAGGGAAAGUGACCGUUGGGCCUCAACCGGACCUCAACCGGUCCUCAAUUGGACCUCAACCGAACCUCAACCGAACCUCAACCGAUUGAGGUUCAACCUUGACUGGGAAGAGAAUGCCACUGGGAGAGAGAGAAACUUUUUGGCCUCCCUCAACCGGUCCUCGACCGGACGAGCACAACCGGUCGACCGGUUGAACCAGUUGAGCCAUUUUUUUGGCUCAACACUCAACCCUUUUCAACUUAAAACCUUUUAACACAAGUUUGAAAAUCAUUUAACAGAAGGUUUUAGUUGAAAACAUGAAAUCAUCCAAUUCUUAAGAUAUUUAAAACAAUAUUACUUUUGGAUGAUUUUGGUUCAUAAAUAAAUAAUGAAAUGCAUGAAAGUCCUAGUGCACCAACAACCUUACAAAGAGAUCUUAAGAAGCUUUGGUCUUGAAAAAAACUCUUCUCUUUGAGGUGGUCUUCUUCUACAUGAUUUCUCCUUGGCUUGAUUUGUCUUUGGAUUACCACUUUGGAAGUCGUCUUGCCUAAUCACACUUAAAAUGUAGUCAUUAGUUUUAAACCUUGUUUUGUUAUCAUCAAAAUCAAGAUUAACCAAACCUUGGUUUCACAUCUUUGUUAUGGGAAUGGAAGUGUUGGACGUCCUCAUCAGGAGAGCUGUGGAGGGGGGAUACUUAUCAGGAUGCAUAAUUCGGGGUGGUAGUAGACCCUCUUUGAACAUCUCCCACCUAUUUUUUGCUGAUGACACAAUAGUGUUUUGUGAGGUAAGUAAAGAGCAAUUAUCUUACCUAAGUUGGAUUCUUCUUUGGUUUGAAGCAGCUUCAGGCCUUAGAAUUAAUUUAGCCAAAAGCGAAAUCAUCCCAGUUGGAGAAGUGGAGGAGAUUCAUGAGCUGGCAGUUGAGUUAGGGUGUAGGGUGGGAUCCUUGCCCUUUCAAUAUUUGGGACUCCCUCUAGUGGUUCCUAAUAGGGCUACUUCUAUGUGGGAUGGAGUGGAAGAGAGAGUUAGGAGGAGACUUGCGCUUUGCAAAAGGCAGUACAUUUCCAAAGGGGGGAGGAUCACUCUUAUAAAAAGCACCUUGGCUAGCAUGCCAAUAUACCAAAUGUUUAUUUUUCGAAUGCCCAAGUCUGUUGCUAAAAGAGUAGAGAAAGUUCAAAGGACUUCCUAUGGGGGGAGGACACUUAGAGGGGAAAAUUCAUCUAGUUAAAUGGAAUGUGGUUUGCACAGAAAAAAACAAGGGUGGGCUAGGCUUAAGGAAAAUAGCCAUGCUAAACAGAGCCUUGCUUGGUAAGUGGAUUUGGAGGUUUGCUUGUGAAAAAGAUUAUCUUUGGAAGCAAGUGAUCACAACGAAGUAUGGGUAAGAGGAUCAUGGAUGAAGGUCAAAGAAGUCUAAUGAGGCGGUUGGAGUAGGGGUGUGGAAGGAGAUUUUGAAAGAAUCUGAUUGGUGCUGGGAUAAUCUAGUGUUUCUAGUUGGGAAGGGCUCCAAAAUCAAAUUUUGGAAAGAUACUUGGUGCACUGACACACCGCUGUCCCAUUAUAUCACUUACCUCUUUGUUCUGGUCGCGCAUAGGGACGCAACAAUUGAGGAGAUGUGAGACCAAAAUUCUGGUCAAGGAGGCUGGAACCUAAUUUUUUUUAGAGACUUUAAUGAUUGGGAGUUGGAUAUGGUUGGGAAUUUGCUUCAUAUCUUGAGGGGUCAUAGGCCUUCUUUGGAGGAAGAUUCAAUUAUGUGGAGGCGAGGAAGAAAUGGUCUCUUUAGGGUCAAGGAAGCUUAUAGGCUGCUGGACAACCCUAAUGACAUAGUUUUUCCUUCAAGGAGCAUCUGGGUGGAUGAGGUGCCAACUAAAGUUGCUUUUUUCGCUUAGGAGGCGACGUGGGGGAAGGUGCUCACUCUGGAUAGGCUCCAGAUAAGAGGAGUGCAACUCCCUAAUUAUUGUUUUUUGUGUGGUUGUGAAGAAGAAAAUGUAAAUCAUAUUCUUAUACACUAUAUAGUGGCUAGAGCUAUGUGGGAUAUUAUUCUUGGGUUAGUAGAUGUUAAAUGGGUCUUCCCAAAAACUGUAAAGGAGGUCUUAACUACCUGGAGGGGCCCAUUUGUAGGGAAGAAAAAGAAAAAUGUUUGGAAAUUCAUACUGUUGUGUAUCUUUUGGACGGUUUGGAAUGAGAGGAAUAUGUUAGCUUUUAGGGGGGGGUGUUGAAUAUCCAGAAAUUAAAGAAUUUUUUUGUUUGUAACUUAUGGAGCUAGGCCAAAGUGUAUUUAGGCGAGGAGUCUCUCUCCCUUAUAGACUUUUUGGAGUGGGUAGCAUCCACUUAAAGGGAGGUAGUCCUUUUUUAGGCUUUAACUGCCUUGUAUACUCUGUGGCUUUUAACAUUUUUCUAAUGCAUAUCUUGUUUUCUUAUAAAAAAAAAAAAAUCAUUUUGUUUUGGGGAAUAUGAAACCAUUAAAGGUCAAUGCAUCCUACGAUUUUCAUAAUAUUUUUAAAAUUCUUUUAAUGUGAAUUCAUCUCUUCUAUUAGAUUUCUUUGGUUAUUAUGAUCACUUUCCUUUUCAAUAAGUGUUUUAAAUUUAUUAAAAGCACAAAAUACUUCAAUUUUUUCCUUUAAAAAAUACAUCCAAAAUUUUAUACUAAAAUCAUGAAUGAAAAACAAAAAAUAUUUAUUCUUACAAAAAAAAAAGUUUGAAUGAAUCGGAUCACAUACAUCCGAAUAAAUAAGUUUUAGAGACUUUUUAUUCUUAUACAUGCUUCUUUUGAAAAUUAUUUUUACAGCAUGUUUCUCAAAUAAGCAUCCUUCACAUUAUUCAUUCAUUUUUGGAAAGCAAUUCUCAUAUUUUUUUUGUUCUAACAAUUUUAAUUUAUCAAAAUUAAGAUAUUCAAAUCUUAAAUGUCAAAUCCAAAAGGAAUCAUUGACAUGAGAUUUUAGACAUUUUACAAUAUCAUUUUAUAUAUUUAAAAAAUAACAUUGCAUUUCUUGUCAUAGACAUAUUUACAUGCUAUCUCUUAUUAAAAGACUUUGAUUUUUCAUAUAAAUAUCAGUCUUUUUUUAAAAACUAGCCCAAACUUAAUAUAUUAUUUGUCAUGUUGGGUACAUAACAAAUAAUGUUCAAGAUAAAUCGAUGCAUUCCAUUCUUAUUUUACCUUUGCCUAGAUAUAUAAUAAUUCUUUCCCCACAAAAUGGACUUAACUUUGAACAGUUCCAAAGAUGGGUGAGCCCCAAAAAAAUGGCUAUUUGGACAAACUCUAAGGGUUGUUUGGGCUUGUCCAUUAAUUUGGGACAUGAAACCCACUAAAGGCUAAAGCCAGAAGCAGACUAGUCUUAUCCAAGAAGGUAGAACAUAAAAGUAUAUUACACACAAACGUUAUGGUAAUAGUUAAAAUAAAACUUUUGUUCAAUCACUCUUAAAUCUUACAAAAACCUUAUAAUUUCAGGGUAAUACUUCUUAGGAAGAUCAGUUUUCCCAUCUUCUCUACGCAUACAAUGAAGCUUCCAACCUGAAGAGAGAUACACCAAAGAAGAAGAAAAACAGAGCAGAAAGGCUUUCAUUCAUACUCAAAACUACAAUAUUUAUAAAGAAAUCAUCAGCUUCUAUGUAGAAGCCAAUGACCCAAUAUCAUACCCAGACCAAAUUCACAGAAAUCCCAAUUAGAUCAGCUUAUCUGCAAUUACCCACUCAGAAUCACGGAGAUUUAAGCGAUCUUGACCUCAAUGGUCUUGGGCUUCUUGGGCUCCGGCGGUGGUAGCUUCUCAACGGUGACGGUCAGUACUCCAUCUUGACAAACCGCGGAGAUCUUAUCAGUAUUCGCAUUCUCCGGCAACGCAAACUUCCUCAUAAACUUGCCUACCCUCCUCUCCAUUCUCACGUACUUGACGCCUUCCUUCUCUUCCUCGCGCUUCCUCUCUCCGCUGAUCACCAGCACAUUGUCGUCCUCCACCUGAACCUUGAUGUCGCCGGACUUCAGCCCCGGCAUGUCGACGAUGAAGGUGUAGGAAUUCGGGUACUCCUUGACGUCAGCAGGCGUCGCCGCCAUGGCCUUGGCGUCGCGGACGUAGGUGCGAGUGGGGGCGCUGACGGACUUGUCGGAGUCAUCGGUGGCGUCUAGCAUGUGUUGGAGGGCAGAGAAGAGUGGAGAAUCGAAGCCCAUCAUCCUCGAAUCCAUGUUGGGUGUCAGAGAUUUGUUGGUGUGAGAUUGUGAACAACUGCAAUUGCGAAUGUAGAAGUGCUUGAAUGUUGGAAGAAAUCGGAGGCAGUGAUGUGGAUUUUAUAGAAGACGAGUUGGGAAACAGAGGAAGGUUCUGGAAAGAACAAGAAGAGGAGAAUUGGGGGUUUGUCUUUGUUGGCUCUGCUCCAACGGUUCCAGAACCAGAAGUUUGUGGAAGUUUCUCCUAAAUGACUAAAGUACCCCUUAUUUGUUCAUAAAAAAUUACCUUUUGAAAGAAGUUCCAUUUCUACUUACACAGUAGUUCACAAAUCUUUUAUCAUAUUAUUAUCAACAAGCUAUGGUUUUGAUCAAUGCUUGGUGUAAAUUUUUAUUUUGAUUUUAGAAGAAAAAAAAAGACAUAAUUUUAAAAGGUAUUAUUAUAGUAAAAGUUAAAAUAAAUUUUUUAAAUAAAAUCAUUUUUUAGGAAAUGUUUAAAAAACCAACUUAAUAAUUUAAAGUGAAUUAAUAAUUUAAUUUAAGUUAUUAAGUAAAUUAAGUAUGUUUGGUAAAAUAACUUAAUGAUAUCACUAAAAAUAAAAAUAAAAAUUAAUUUUUAAAUAAAAAUAAUUAACUUAUUCUUAAAUCUAUAUUUUUAUUUUUAUUUACCAUCAUUUAUCCGAAUUAUUCUCAUAAUCUAUUUUACUACUUCAUGAUUUCCAUUGUUACUUAAACUACUUUGUCCUCAUUAUAAUUUAUGAAAAUAAUCAUAUCAAUUUGAUGAUUUACAAUAAAUUUUCAGUUAAUUUUAUUAAACAACCUUAAUAUUUGAAAUGAGAAUUAAGUAAUAAGUUUUAAGACUAAUAAUUUAAGUAUAAUUUAACUUAAAAUCAACUUAAAUAAUUAAAUAAUAAGUAAUAAGUUUUACCAAAUAUCAUUUUAAUAUUGUUCUUAUAAUAAAGUUAGUUAAAUAAAUAUAAGAAUUUUUAUUAAUCAUAUAAUAGAGUUUUUGAACUUAGAUUCACUUCAAUCCAACUUGUGUUUUAUCUUUUAAAAUUUAAAAGUUAAACAUAUCUAAGCAUCAACAAUUUAAAAAAAUUUGCUCUUUAUUUCUAAAUCGUACAUUAAUAAUAAUAGACUAAUCAAUUAUGAGUAUGGAUAAUUUGCCCCUUAUAAAUUGUUGGUUUAAGGGUAUGAAAAAAAGGACUAGUCCAAAGCACACAAAUAAAUAACGUAAUGAAUAGUAAGAAAAAUUUAUAGGUUGAGGUGUAACAAACAUUGUCCUUAAAAUAGAUCAACUCUCCUCGAAGACGAACUUGGUACACUUAGGUACUAGUGGUCCACCUUCAGGAUUCAAUAGUCAUUGAGUGCACUUUGUAAGCGAGACGUGUACAACUCAGGUUCAUGAAAAAUUCGUAUUCAUAUUUAGAGAGUGAUGAGUGAUAUGCUUUUAUGACUAAUAAAAUAAGAUAAAAAAAAAAAAGUAGCAUAGAUCAUCGCACACGUACGCAAAGGGCCUUCCACGCAAGAUGCAUGUGGGGAUCGAAGCCCCACUCAAAUGGGUUUGGCCCCAAUGGGCGCGCAAGACUCACCCACACCUCUUCACAAGCCCAUUGGGCUAAGGAAGGUUAAUAAACCCAUUAAAGAUGUUCAUCUCUUUCCUAUGUCGACAAGCAAAAAAUACUUUUCACAUUUACACUCUUCCUGCUAUGCAAGUCAAGUUGGGUACAUUUUGUUUGGAUUGAACAAGGUGUAGAAGGAUUAAAUAGAAGUACAUCAUUGAUGAUAAUAUUGCUUAAAUUUAUUUAAAGUCUUUAAUAACUUUUCAGCUUUGUAACUUCAUUAUUCUAAUACCAGUCAUUACAUUUGAUCAUUUUCAAAGAGAACAACUCUUCCCUGAGACAAAUAUGGUGUCACUCUCCCAAUCUAAAUUACAAAUUUAGAUUAUCAAAUUCCCUACCCAAAAUCUAAUCUUCCCAAUUUAAAAAAGACUUGUAGUGAAGUUGUCAACCAGAGGAAAUACCACACCUUACUAUGGCUUUUUAAUUGCCGUUAAAUCUUAAAAAUUUUCCAGGAAAAAUGAAAACGAGGCAAGGAAGAGAAAAGGCAGACUUCAUUGACGGUACUGAAAAAUCAAAACUACACAUUAUACUGUAAUGAAGAGAUCAGUAUCUUCAUCACCCCAAGCCAUUGACCCAAGAUCAAACCCAAACAAAGGCCCCUGUGGCAUUAUUUACUAUUAAAAACCCAGAAAAACCCUCCCAAAACCCCCUACAUUUCAAGCAAUUUUGACCUCAAUGGUCUUGGGCUUCUUGGGCUCCGGCGGUGGCAGCUUCUCAACGGUGACGGUCAACACCCCAUCUUGACAUACAGCAGAGAUCUUAUCAGUAUUCGCAUUCUCCGGCAACACGAACUUCCUCAUAAACUUCCCCACUCUCCUCUCCAUUCUUACGUACUUGGCACCUUCCUUCUCCUCCUCCCGCUUCCUCUCUCCGCUGAUCACCAGCACAUUGCCGUCCUCCACCUGAACCUUGAUGUCGCCGGACCUCAGCCCCGGCAUGUCGACGAUGAAGGUGUAGGAAUUCGGGUACUCCUUGACGUCAGCCGGCGUCGCCGCCAUGGCCUUGGCGUCCCGGACGUAGGUGCGGGUGGGAGCGUUGAGAGACUUGUCGGAAUCGUCGCCGGCGUCGAGCAUGUGUUGGAGGGUUGAGAAGAGUGGAGAAUCAAAACCCAUGACCCUCAAAUCCAUUUUGCUUUUCAGCGAUUAGUCUCUGAGAUCUGCUAAGAUUUGUAAAUGAAAAUGUUGGAAUUGAUUUUCUUAUGAGGAAUUCAUGCCGGUGGUGUGGUUCUUAUAGGUGGUGGGUUUGGGUUUGGAAGCAGAGGAGUUUCUGGAAGAAGAGAGAAGAGCAACACUGGUAGCUUCCGGAGCUUUGACUCAAAAUAGUGUGUUUUAAAAAAAAUUUCAAAAAAUAAAGUUGUUUUGAAAAUAAUGUCCGAUCUGAUGCGUCUUGUGUCACAUAAACUGCCAUGUCAUAAAACCGUAGUUGGUGACUACGGUUUUAUUUUUCUAAAGUGGUUAGAAACCAUAGUUACCAACCACAGUUUUAACUUUAAGUUUAAAUAUAGUGCCUAUUGUUUUAAUAAAAUUUAAAAAUAUAUUUUUAUAUCAAAUUAAAAAUAUCAAUUAUUUAAUUUCGUAUAUUAUUAUUUUUAAAAUAAUGAAAUAAGUAUAUUUAAAAUCAAAAUAAUAUAAUAUUUUUAUUAAAAAAAUUAAAGUUAUAUAUAAAUAUAUAUAAAGUUAAAACCGCAGUUGGUGACUACGACUUUGACCAUCUUAAAAAAAAGUCAAAGCCGUAGUCACCAAUUACGACUUUAAACUUAAAGUUAAAACCGUUAUUGGUAACUACAAUUUCUAACCACUUUAGAAAAAUAAAAUCAUAGUUACCAACUACGAUUUUAUGAUAUGACAGCUUAUGUGGCACAGACGCAUUAGAUCGAGCAUUAUUUUCAAAACAACUUUAUUUUUUGGAAUUUUUUUUUAAAACGCACUAUUUUGGAUCAAAGCUCUAGCUUCCGGAAGUUUUAUGGACCUUCUUACAAGUUAAAACGGAAAAAGUCAAAUUGACUAAAGUGCCCUUCUGUCUCUAUGGCUGCAAAAUCCCGUUAUGUGGACGCCUUGAAUGUUGUUGCUGUAAUUAAGACAGCAAUCUAAAUUUUUUCACCGAUACCCUUUUACAGUAUCCGUCUCCCGUGUAGAAGUUUUCACCCGUGGGUAACCGAUAAGAACAACAAAACAAUUAAAAUCUCUAUAACAUUCCCCAAAAAAUAAAAAAAUAAAAAAUUGUUCUCAAAUUAGAUAAUCACCUAACAAAACAAAUCUAGAAUGUUUGAAUUGAUUUUCAAUUAAAUUAUAUUUAAAUUAUUAAUUUAAAAUUUAUUAUUUAAUCAAUAUUUUAAAUAUUAAAAUUAUUUAAUAAAAUUAACUUAAAAUUUAUUCUAAAUUAUCAAAUUAAUAUAUUUAUUACCAUCAAUAAUAAUUAAAAUAAAACAUCGAUAAAAAAAUAAAAUAAAAAUAUAGAUGUAAAAAUAAAUUAAAAUUAUCUUUUAUUUUAAAUCAUAAUAUUAAAUUAUUUUACCAAAUAUACUAUACUUAAUUUAAUUAAUGACUUAAUUUAAAUUAUUAAAUUAAUUUACCUAUAUAUUAUAAUCUUAUAAACACACCCACCUACAAAUUUUCAAGAUUUCUAAAAUAUCCUUCUUUUUAUAAUCUUUCACAUGUCUUUUUUCUUCCUUUUUUCCAAAACUUAUUUGUUAGCAAAAGGAUAUUUAAGGUAAAUUUAUAGUUAAUUUCAACUUUACAAAUUUUAAUAAAAAAUUAUUACUUAGAAAUAAUUUAAAAAAUAUUUUAGAAGUGAAAAAUGCUGAAAACCCAAAAAAAUAAAAGGAAAAAAAUUCAUAGUAAUUCAAACUUGUAAUACUAAACAUAGAAAGAAAUUAUGUCGGAAAAUAUAGUUGCAAACAACUUUGUGAAUAUUUGAAAUAUUUUAAGGCUAUUUUGCAAUGUUUUAAAAAUCGGAUUGAUUAUUGAAUAAAAAAAGUUAUCGGUACAUGGUUCACUAGUUGGACCGUCGGUCGAACCGCUAUCGAACCGGUGACGUCAUAAAUAUAUAUUUUAUUAUUUUAUAUAAUAUAAAAAAUUAAAACAUUAAUAAAUUCUAUGUAAAUUUUGACAACAUCUAUUUUGUUUAUUGAGUAACUUGAGUUUUGUCACAAAAUUUUUUACCUGUAGAAGUCAUCAAUUAUCAUAUAUGAUAUUUAUAAAACAAUAUAAGAUGUUAUACAUUCAUAAUAUCAAUAAACUCAACAUUAUCAAAUAAUCAAACCAUUACUAUCCUAUAAUAACCAAAUUAUCAAAGAGUUAUUAACUUAACACAUUGUCCAUAACAAAUAAUACAAAUAUCAACCAUAGGUCCACAACACUAAAAUAAUUACUCAAAAUAAAAACAUAACAUGUCAAUGUUUGAAUAUUCAUGAAGAUUUUUGCAUACUAAUAAAUAUAAAAUUCAUGUUUUCAUUCAUUUUGGAAAUUGGAAUAUGGAGAUUGAAAAUGAGCAUUUGAAAAACCAAAAAAAAAAAUUAAAAUCAUUUGAACCGGUUUUUUUCCUCAGAACCGGCCGGUUCGUCUGGUUCACCGGUUGGACCGCCAGUUCAAGCGGUCCAAUCCCGAUUCGGUCUCCAUCCGGUCUAAUGACCGGACCGAACCGGAACGGUGACCGACCGACGGUCCAACCGGUCUAGUCCGGUUUUUAAAACCAUGCUAUUUUGGUUAUUUUAAUAAAAACAUUUUUGUUUUUAUUUUUUUAUAUUUUAAUUUUUUUUUAAAUAUAUCUUCAAAACAAAAACAAAUUCAAGCAUAUGUAAUCGUGACCCAAUUCGGUUAGCAAAUCCAAAAUCUAAUCCCAACAUAAAACCUUAAUAUAUAUGGCACCUUAAAUUUGAGGUAAUGAAAAUGGCACACUAAAAAUAAGGGAAAAGGUUUCACUCGUAGAGAUGAAGAUUGAAGACUACAUACUGACUUGGGAGACAUCGGGUACAAGAUCCCAAAAACCAACACACCCUCAUAUACACCGAACCCAAACACAACCCAAAAUCACGCAAAAUCCAAGAAGAUAUAAACACAAGCUCGUCACAUCCAUGACCUCAAAUUUCCAAACCCCAAAGAUCUCAAGCAACCUUCACCUCAAUGGUCUUGGGCUUCUUCGGCUCCGGCGGUGGCAGCUUCUCAACGGUGACGGUCAACACACCAUCUUGACAAACCGCAGAGAUCUUAUCAGUAUUCGCAUUUUCCGGCAACACAAACUUCCUCAUAAACUUCCCCACCCUCCUCUCCAUUCUCACGUACUUGGCGCCUUCCUUCUCCUCCUCCCGCUUCCUUUCUCCGCUGAUCACCAGCACAUUGUCGUCCUCCACCUGCACCUUGAUGUCGCCGGACUUCAGCCCCGGCAUGUCGAUGAUGAAGACAUAGGAAUUGGGGUACUCCUUGACGUCGGCCGGCGUCGCAGCCAUGGCCUUGGCGUCGCGAACGUAGGUGCGGGUUGGAGCGCUGACGGGCUUAUCAGCGUCAUCGACGCCGUCGAGCAUGUGUUGGAGGGUUGAGAGUGGAGAAUCGAAGCCCAUGAUUCUCAAGUCCAUAUUGGAUUUUCAGACGAUGAUUGAUGAGUAG